rnacentral:lncRNA from 1 species
CAGCUCUGGAAGGAGCCGGGGCCUCUGUGUGCUGGAGGAGUGGUGGCUGGUCUCUUGUUUUGUUUUCUUGGGCCCAGGUGUUCCUACCCUCCUUUCACCUUCUCCUUUUUCAAGGUGCUUCCCAGGUUUCCAGAGCCCUCACGCGGCCCCUGGAGGCCUGCAAUCCUGAUGGGUUCACCCCACCCUUUCUGAGCCUUCCCCUCCAGAUGCAGGUGCCACACCUACCAAAACACUUCUCUGAGGAAGCCCCAUUGUUUCCCUAGGGACGCCCUCACCGCACGUGGCACGUGAUGACUGCCCAGCAGUAGGUGCCAGGAGAAAACCUCCCCUUUGCCCUCUGAGGGUUUGCUGGAAAAUCAACUCACAAAAGGCAGAUUAAUUGGAGAAAAGGCAUACAAAUGUAUUCACACGCGCACAGGAAGAACCACAGGCGGACUUCCCACCCCCGGAUGGAGUGCAAGGGCUUAUGCACCACCUCAAGGUUACAGAAAAGUUGCCGGCUCAGAGUACAGCCAGGACCAAGAGAUGGUGGUGGAUCCCAGCAUGGCAGGCCGCAGUCAAAACCUCCAAACACGACAACGACUCCGAGGCACCGCACCUCCCGCUGAGAAAUGAUGACUUGACUGAACAUUGAAUAGGGCUGGGCAGCCACACGGCAAAAACAGAAGGAACAGAACCCCCAGGCUAUUGCUCCUUUUCUAUCCUUUCCCCAUAUCCAUUCCCCACUGCCACCCUUCCCAUCUUGCCUCCUUCUCUUUCCCAAGCUAUAACCCCCCAUUCCCUCAGCUCUGGCCCCCGGCAGUCCCACUCCUUAUCCGGCAAACAAGACACCACCCACCGCCCCUCAAGUGGCCCCGUGGAGCGGCACCAAGGUGCAUAGGCACACUGCCCGCACCACGCAACCGCAUCGCUCCAUCAUAAGAGCCCAGAGAGGGUUUGGGUGGAGACUGCACGCCCCACCCCUAUCGAAUAUUAUUGGUCCCCGAGUUUGCUCAUCAAGGGAGAGAAAUGCGGUAUUCAUCAACAAUGCAGUCUCUCUCAUGGGAGCAAGUUUUGAAAAGAAAAUAAGAUUUCUGUCCAAAUCAUCACAUGUAAGAAGUGUGUAUUGGUCAGGGUCCCUGCAGGGUAGUGAGCUCAACCCAAGCAGGGGUUUCCCUUCUCCCGUGUACCCCAGAUCAGCCUGCAGAGCUUGGUCCUGAGUGUCUCUGCACCACAGUGCCACGUGUGAGAUCAGGACAGAGGCAGACCCUGCUCAGUGGUGGGGGCGCUCUCCCCGGCCACCACUGCCGCUGUCAUUAUCAUCCUCACCACUGCUGUUCCCGGUGCACAAUAAAUAUGCCCUGAACUAAAUGAACUGCAGGUCAGUUUGUGGGCACUGGCUAACCUGGUGACUUGAAUGCAGGAAGGAAUGUCAUCAUCCUGGAGAUUCCAUAUUCAUGCACUGGGGUGGUGCUUGUUCUGCCAAUAGACCAGUGGGCCAUGAAGACAGGACAGAUGAGUCAUGUCUUCUGGGAAAGCUAACCCUGAGCUUUCAUCUAUGCAAAGACUUGCCUUAGGGACCAGCAGAUGCAGUGCACCCUGGGGACACAGUUUGAACUCCAGCCUCCCGGGCACUAGAAGCUGGCAAGCUGGGGAGGUGAGGGGUCACAGGAGGGACUGGCCCCUGGCCAUGCAGUAGGCUGACACCAUAGGCCCUAGAGUGGUUCUCGGAGGAACAUGAAUAAAGAUAAAGCCCACAGACCAUCGCCUCCAUGACAAGCCUGCAACGCUUGUCACACACAUCUCUUUUUAUCCUCCUCAUCCCCAAUCUCUGGUGUGAAAGGCCUCCCAUGACAUACUUCUUUUAGUCUAGAGGGUGCCUGGGGAGGAUGACAGGUGGCAAGAUCUAAGAAUACCAUCAUCUGCCUUCUAAAAUGCAAUGGAAACAGCCCCAGCAGGGAACGUUUGUGCUGAAAUAUUAUUAUUAUCA